rnacentral:rRNA from 1 species
UACGUAGGGUGCAAGCGUUGUCCGGAAUUAUUGGGCGUAAAGAGCUCGUAGGCGGUCUGUCGCGUCUGCUGUGAAAACCCGAGGCUCAACCUCGGGCCUGCAGUGGGUACGGGCAGACUAGAGUGCGGUAGGGGAGAAUGGAACUCCUGGUGUAGCGGUGGAAUGCGCAGAUAUCAGGAGGAACACCGGUGGCGAAGGCGGGUCUCUGGGACGGUACUGGACGCUGGAGACGCGAAAGCGUGGGGAGCGAACAGG